GGAUGGGUCCACAAGAGCACAAAGUGCAUACUUUUUGAAGAAAAACAUCUUUCAGAUGUAUGAGAAAUUGAUUGGAGCCUGUCUGGGAAAACGGCAGCCACUGGACCUUGUUUUUUUGUGACAUACCCAAGAGGACCAUAGUCUAUAUGAAUUCAUUUGGCGAGUCGGAGGUCAGAAAAAGUGCGGUGUUGAAAAACUGGAGGUAAUUAAUUAACAUAUUUAACAUAACAUAUUUAAUUUAAUUGAAAUCAUUACCGAACGUGGUUAUUGAUUUCUCUAUAUGCUUUUUAUUUGUAAUAACUGCGAUCUCUCAGCUCAUUUGCUUCAGCAAGAGGCUGCGCUGGAGAGUGGACCUUGUCACAUGUGAGCCACCCACAUCAACAGGAUGGGAACUCAUGUGGAGUGCAUGUCAUAAUGGUACUGAAAACUAUAGCUUUAACCUAUAUAAGUAAUGUUUACAUUUUUGCCUAUUCAGUUUUUAAAGCCUUAGAGGCAGGAUGGUAAAAUCUCAAUUUUUUUUGUAGAUUGAACCAUUUCAGCAGUAAUGCUUUGCUUUGGUUGCUCUGUUUUUUUUUUUGUUUUUUUUUUUUUUUUUUUUUUUUUUUCCUCCUCGGGGGGUUAAAAACAAACAAACAUUUCUUUGUUAAUCUAAUUCUUUUUGUUCUUUUUUUUGUUCUUUUUUUUUUUUUUUUUUUUUUUUUUUUUUCUUCGUCAAUUAUUAGUUUGCCCAAUCUCUCAUUGACGGUAAAACACAAGUGGAGGAGUACAACACUGAAAUCACAAAGCUCAGGUCCCGACUUUGCCACUACUUAUUUUCCUCAAUAGGUAAAGAUAAAAUUAGCUGCCUUCUUUUUCUCUAACAUUGGAAAAUGUAACUUGUACUUAAACAAAUUAUAUUUUGCAGAUCGAACUAGGAAGUGCAGUCAGUGCUGGUGUGUGAUUGCAGCCAAAGACCGGGUACACUAUGACAUGUCCUUAGCCAUAUAGAUUGUUUAUAUAAUGGACUUUGUUCAUUUGUUUUUUGUUUGUUUAUUUCUUCUUUUUUUUUUUUAAUUCACAGGUGCAGUGCCAGAAAUGUGGUGCAUACAAGCACAUGCGUUGUUCAAAGUCUGUUUGUGGCAUCUGUAUCUUCUGUGAGAGUAAGUCACAAUAUAACUAAACAAUGUCCAAAAAUGUUUAAAGUGAAAUUUGUUUUCAUAAUUUUGCCUUUGCACACCAGGACUGUGUAAUUAAAGUGGACGUUUCAAGAUCCAUUUUUUACACAAAACUAUUUUAGACAUAACUGUGUCAUAUUGUGGGGAUUUCUCUUCACAAUUAAAUUGAUAUAGUGCUGUUUAUAUCAUUCUUCUUUAUGUAACAGCACAGUGCAGCACAGCAGAGGGAAAGGAGUUGUGCACCAUAGUAGGUGGCUAUACAGGAGGAGCAAUAGAAGUAGCCAGUGAAGAAUGUCAUCAGGGAAAGCAUCAGGCAGCGAAUGACAAAGGAAAAGUUCCUAAGGGAGAGAACAUCUGCAGUAAAUCGACAAGUAACAGUGAGAUAGGAAGACUGACAGUCAGAGAUGAAGGUACACAGACUGAAAGAGAUGAAGGUACACAGACUGAAGACAACGAAAAAGAAGCAGAAGUAUACGGCACAAGUCUGAGUACAGAUAAUGCUGCUGCUGAUGAUGUUGACAGGAUCGAUGCAGAUACAGAAUUCCAAACUGAUUCAGAAGGAACUAGUACAGUUUACAGAGUGCAUGGUCGCUUAUCUGUACCAAGCUCAAAAAAGAAAACCUACACAAUAACAGAAGACGAGAUCAAGCGCAGAAUCAACGCAGAGAACAUGUCAGUUCAUGUUUUCAGAGGUUUGAUUGGGGUAGGUAUACAUUUCGUGAUUUUGAUGUCACCUGAAAUAAAUCCGGGUUACUCGUAUCAAUGAAGUGACAAUGUGGCUGGAAAUUGUGCCUUUGCUGCAACAUAUACACAAUUACACCAUGUAAACAAAAGCAUUUAACUUUGUGCGCGUGUGUGUGUGUCUCUCUCUGCUCUUUUGGUGUUUGCACUUUUUCUUUUUUAGGGCCGUAAAGCCAAACUGCCCGCAAUGAUUCUUGACAGGCCUAAGAAGGCCAAAACUAAAGUAACAGUGUUUAGUGUUCUGAGUGAAGAGGAGGCUGGGGAGCUAGCCCUCGGGUUUGCCGGAAGAUUGGCCUGCGAUGUCACAACAGACAUGGUCUGUAAAGGCAUCGACCAUUCAAGUGCUGAUAUGACAAAACAGACUCUUCUCAAAAUCCAACACAACCUUAAACAUGAGCUGACUGAUUCCUCAACCUUCAGUUUGCUGACACACACCUUUGGCCCCGCUGCACUGGAUUCUGUCAUUUCAUUCCUGUGUGAAAAACUUGAUCUUGUCUCUUAAAUAAUGAAGCCUUUUGUGACUUUUGUUUGUUCUGUAAAUCAGAAUCUUGAAAAUUGUUCAUUGUUGUUCUAAGUUUGUGUUAACUAUUUGGCAAAAAUGAUUGGUUCCUAAUCCAAACAGCAUAAUGACUGUUCUAACACAUAUCUUAAAAAUGCUACAAAGAAAGAAAAUUAUCACAUAUGUUUCAAUAUGAAUGUAAUUGUGUCACACUCGGUUUGUAGUAGCUUUCCUGUUUUAUUUUGAGUUUUGGUAUGUUUACACUGUUAUUUUUAUUUCCCGUGUGUUCGUCUUCCCUUAUUAGUUUUACUGUAUUUAAUUAGUCUGAUUUAAUAACUUAUAAUUAUUUACUUUCCAGUGUGUGUAUAUGCUCCUCGUUUGGAUUAUUGUUUGUUUGAGUUCUGCCUGUCUUUUCUAUUAAAGAUUUGGACUUUUGGACUAUUAGUGGACCUCGUAGGUUUUUAUUCUGUGCAAUUGGUAAUUGACUGGGUUUAAUUUAGUGGCCUGGAAAACAGGCCGGAGGGGUCUGGUCAUUUUAACCCCCUAAGACCCGAAAUCUUCCAUGGCAUGCAUUUUUAAUUUCUCUUUGAUAUUUGGGCCGAUUGGAACCCGAUGAAUGUAAAAAGAAAGAAUUACCAGGUUUUUUUUUUUUUGUUUUGUUUUUUUACCUAAUUUUUGUUUCUGAGAAAAAUGAGAGCCACAUAUGAGGACAUUCAUUUGAAAUUUCGAUAGAACAGUUGCAGUAUAAUGUCCUCGUAACUGUAUAUCAGGCACUUGUUGAUCAAGAUUUAGUAUUUUGGUCUAAAUAACCCAAAAUGUGAUGUCCACAUGUGUGGACGCCAGGCUGGAGUAAAGUGUUAGAGCUAUUUAUACCUAUGUAAACUUUUAUACACUGGUUUUUACCUGUCUUGUUUCAGAAAGGUUUAAAAGGGUAAUGUCCACAGUUUAUUUGUUUAUUUAUUUGUUUGAAUUCAACAUAUUUUAUUAAAGUAAUUGAGCUUGAACACAGAAAAAACUAAAUCAAAUAAUC
ensembl:lncRNA